CAGUCGCCGCGGUAAUACGGAGGGUGCAAGCGUUAAUCGGAAUUACUGGGCGUAAAGCGCACGCAGGCGGUUUGUUAAGUCAGAUGUGAAAUCCCCGGGCUCAACCUGGGAACUGCAUUUGAAACUGGCAAGCUAGAGUCUCGUAGAGGGGGGUAGAAUUCCAGGUGUAGCGGUGAAAUGCGUAGAGAUCUGGAGGAAUACCGGUGGCGAAGGCGGCCCCCUGGACGAAGACUGACGCUCAGGUGCGAAAGCGUGGGGAGUAAACAGGAUUAGAUACCCGUGUAGUCCCUGUCUCUUAUAC
rnacentral:rRNA from 1 species